AUGCCUCGGACGAUGGUAUCCCGCGCUCUCCUGCUCGCCGCCGUCGUCCUGACGGCCCAGCUGUGCGCGUGCACGGCGUACGCCGUCAGCGGAGGCGAUGGGUUUAGCGUGGAGUUCAUCCACCGUGACUCGGUCAGGUCGCCGUUCCACGACCCGACGCUCACCGCGCCUGCCCGCGUGCUCGAGGCCGUGCGGCGGUCCGCGGCUCGCGCCGCGGCGCUCUCGCGCUACUACGUCCGCGUCGACGCGCCCUCAGCUGACGGCGGCGUCGUGUCCGAGGUCACGUCCAGGUCGUCCGAAUACCUGAUGGCCGUGAACAUAGGCACGCCGCCCACUCCUAUGACCUUCGCGGCGCCGGACCAGUCCCCCGUCAUCGUCGACUCCGGCACGACGCUCACAUACCUCCCGGAGGCGCUUUUAGACCCACUUGUGAAGGAGCUGACACGGCGGAUCAAGCUCCCGCCUGCCCAGUCGCCAGAAAAGUUCCUGCCGCUGUGCUUCGACGUGAGCAGGGUGCGGGAGGGGCAGGUUGCGGCCAUGAUCCCUGACGUGACGCUGGGGCUGGGCGGCAGCGUUGCGGUCACGCUGAAGGCGGAGAACACGUUCGUGGAGGUGCAGGAGGGGAUCCUGUGCUUGGCGGUGGCGGCGAUGUCGGAGCAGUUACCGGCGUCGAUCAUCGGGAACAUCGCCCAGCAGAACAUGCACGUUGGGUAUGAUCUCGACAAGGGCACCGUGACCUUCGCCCCAGCAGACUGCGCGAGUUCCUACCCCGCCCCCUCACCCUCCGGUUCUGUGUAG
rnacentral:rRNA from 1 species